UACAGGUUUUCUGCAGAUGGCAUCAGGUAUCUAUGCAGACUACUGGGUCCCAGGAUUAAGCACCGCACUGCACGGAGCCAUGCACUGAGUGUGGAGCAAAUGGUUUGUGUGGCCUUGCGCUUUUUGCUAGUGGAGCCUUCCUGUACUCAGUGGGGGAUGCAGAACAGCUGAACAAGGCCACAAUUUGCCGCACAAUAAGGAGUGUGUGUCUGGCUAUCAAAGCAUUAGCAGAUGUCUUCAUCUCCUUCCCUGGCCACAGAAGACUCUGUGACAUCAAAGAGGAGUUCUAUAGGAUUGCAGGUUUCCCCAAUGUCAUUGGUGCAGUGGACUGCACACACAUAAGGAUAAAAGCCCCCUCAGGUGCCCAUGAGGCCGAUUUUGUGAAUAGGAAAUCCUUUCACAGCAUUAAUGUUCAGAUGGUCUGCAAUGCUGACUGUGUGAUCAGCAAUGUUGUGGCAAAAUGGCCUGGCUCAGUCCAUGACUCCAGAAUCUUUCGGGCCUCUGAAAUCUAUCACAAGGUGAAUUCUCUGGUGUGUUGCUGGGAGACAGGGGGUAUGGCUGCCAGCCUUUUCUCCUGACACCUUUCACAGACCCCCAGGAAGCACAGCAGGCCUACAACCAUGCCCAUGCCAGGACCAGGGCCAGAGUUGAAAUGACCUUUGGCCUCCUGAAGGCACGCUUUCACUGCCUUCACAAAUUAAGGGUCAGCCCUGUUAGGGCAUGUGAUAUUACUGUGGCUUGUGCUGUCCUCCACAAUGUGGCCUGCCUGAGGAAGGAGAGGGCCCCCAGAGUGCCACCAGCCAUGGACUGGGACAAUCCGGCAAUCUUCCCUGAUGACGACAGUGGUCGGCUGCUGAGGGACCAAUAUGUGUUGAAUUAUUUUAGUUAGUAUGUGUGCUUUCAAUUUUGGUUAAAUAUGUCCUGCGGUGGCAGAGGAAUUUGGGUUUUUUGGGUUCGUUUUUUGACGAAUUUGGCCUCUUAUGAUGUUUGUGCGGUAUACUGUGUGUAAUACAAGGCUGCAGGGAGGCUACUGCAUCCAUUCAUUUGUCUGUUCAGUUGAUGUGUAUGGAUUUGUCCUGCAUUUAUUUUAGUGUGCAGACAU